CCUACGGUGGGCAGCAGUGGGGAAUUUUGGACAAUGGGCGCAAGCCUGAUCCAGCUAUUCCGCGUGUGGGAUGAAGGACCUCGGGUUGUAAACCACUUUUGUAGAGAACGAAAAGACACCUUUUAAUAAAGGGUGUUGCUGACGGUACUCUAAGAAUAAGCACCGGCUAACUACGUGCCAGCAGCCGCGGUAAUACGUAGGAUGCGAGCGUUAUCCGGAUUUAUUGGGUUUAAAGGGUGCGUAGGCGGACAGUCAAGUCAGCGGUAAAAAUGCGGUGCUCAACGCCGUACAGCCGUUGAAACUGGCAGUCUUGAGUGGGCGAGAAGUAUGCGGAAUGCGUGGUGUAGCGGUGAAAUGCAUAGAUAUCACGCAGAACUCCGAUUGCGAAGGCAGCAUACCGGCGCCCUACUGACGCUGAGGCACGAAAGCGUGGGUAUCGAACAGGAUUAGAUACCCUAGUAGUC
rnacentral:rRNA from 1 species